rnacentral:rRNA from 1 species
UACGUAGGGGGCAAGCGUUGUCCGGAUUUAUUGGGCGUAAAGAGCGUGUAGGCGGCCAGGUAAGUCUGCUGUGAAAACUCGAGGCUCAACCUCGAGCUGUCGGUGGAAACUGUCUGGCUAGAGUCCGGAAGAGGAGAGUGGAAUUCCUGGUGUAGCGGUGAAAUGCGCAGAUAUCAGGAAGAACACCUAUGGCGAAGGCAGCUCUCUGGGACGGUACUGACGCUGAGACGCGAAAGCGUGGGGAGCAAACAGG